GACGAACGCUGGCGGCGUGCUUAACACAUGCAAGUCGAACGGAAAGGCCCUGCUUGCCGGGUACUCGAGUGGCGAACGGGUGAGUAACACGUGGGUGAUCUGCCCUGCACUUCGGGAUAAGCCUGGGAAACUGGGUCUAAUACCGGAUAGGAGCCAUUUUUAGUGUGAUGGUUGGAAAGUUUUUUCGGUGUAGGAUGAGCUCGCGGCCUAUCAGCUUGUUGGUGGGGUAAUGGCCUACCAAGGCGGCGACGGGUAGCCGGCCUGGGAGGGUGGACGGCCACAUUGGGACUGAGAUACGGCCCAGACUCCUACGGGAGGCAGCAGGGGGGAAUAUUGCACAAUGGGCGCAAGCCUGAUGCAGCGACGCCGCGGGGGGGAUGACGGCCUUCGGGUUGUAAACUCCUUUCGCUAGGGACGAAGCUUUUUGUGACGGUACCUAGAUAAGAAGCACCGGCUAACUACGUG
rnacentral:rRNA from 1 species